AGGAACCUGGUGGGCUGCGGUCCAUGGGGUCACAAAGAGGCGGACAUGACUGAGCCACUACGCACAGCACAUUGUGUGUCUAUGUAUCCGACCGUGAGGGCAGUGUCUCAGUAUGUCUUAGGACACAGUAGAUGCCAAAUAAAUGUUGAAUGAAAUGAGAGAGCAAAUGAAUGAUGACACGAUGGCCUGCAAAGGCCCUAGCACGUGUAGCUAUUUGGUGUUGGAAAUGUGAAAGUGAGAUGGGCUCAGUGACCAGGCAAGCCUCAUGUAAAUGAGUGGCAGGAACUCCUUGACCUUCUGGCACAAGCAUCCAAAACUGGGUUCCAGUCAGUUGGUGCAAGAAGAAGAUAUCUCAAGAGGGCCUGUCACUUGUUCCCACCAUCUGGGGUCUUAAUUGUGGCAUGCGGGAUCUAGUUCCUUGAUCAAGGAUGGAACCCCGGGCCUCUGCAUUCGGAGCUCGAAGUCUUAGCCAUUGGACCACCAAGGAAGUCCCUAUGGUCGGUAUUUUUAUCAGCAAGUAAUUUCAUCUCUGUGUGCCUCAGUUUCUUCACCUGUAAAAUGAAAGUAGUAACUCCUUCACAGGGUUGUUGGAAGAUCUGUAUGGGUUAAUACAUGGGAGGCAUUUUGAACAUGUAAACUACCAUAAAAGUGCUUGUUAAAUUAUAAAACUACCUUGUUAUUAAUGAUGAGUAUGUGCUACACUGGGCCCCUGGCUGGUACAGAGA